AGCAUGGUCUUAGCUUGCUAAGGCCGAUGGCGACCGGCGCACGGGUGAGUAACACGUAUCCAACCUGCCGUCUACUCUUGGACAGCCUUCUGAAAGGAAGAUUACUACAAGAUGGCAUCAUGAGUCCGCAUGUUCACAUGAUUAAAGGUAUUCCGGUAGACGAUGGGGAUGCGUUCCAUUAGAUAGUAGGCGGGGUAACGGCCCACCUAGUCUUCGAUGGAUAGGGGUUCUGAGAGGAAGGUCCCCCACAUUGGAACUGAGACACGGUUCAAACUCCUACGGGAGGCAGCAGUGAGGAAUAUUGGUCAAUGGGCGAGAGCCUGAACCAGCCAAGUAGCGUGAAGGAUGACCGCCCUAUGGGUUGUAAACUUCUUUUAUAAAGGAAUAAAGUCGGGUAUGGAUACCCGUUUGCAUGUACUUUAUGAAUAAGGAUCGGCUAACUCCGUGCCAGCAGCCGCGGUAAUACGGAGGAUCCGAGCGUUAUCCGGAUUUAUUGGGUUUAAAGGGAGCGUAGAUGGAUGUUUAAGUCAGUUGUGAAAGUUUGCGGCUCAACCGUAAAAUUGCAGUUGAUACUGGAUAUCUUGAGUGCAGUUGAGGCAGGCGGAAUUCGUGGUGUAGCGGUGAAAUGCUUAGAUAUCACGAAGAACUCCGAUUG
rnacentral:rRNA from 1 species